GACGAACGCUGGCGGCGUGCUUAACACAUGCAAGUCGAACGGAAAGGCCCUGCUCUUGUGGGGUGCUCGAGUGGCGAACGGGUGAGUAACACGUGAGUAACCUGCCCUUGACUUUGGGAUAACUUCAGGAAACUGGGGCUAAUACCGGAUAGGAGCUCCUGCUGCAUGGUGGGGGUUGGAAAGUUUCGGCGGUUGGGGAUGGACUCGCGGCUUAGCAGCUUGUUGGUGGGGUAGUGGCUUACCAAGGCUUUGACGGGUAGCCGGCCUGAGAGGGUGACCGGCCACAUAGGGCCUGAGAUAGGGCCCAGACUGCUACGGGAGGCAGCAGUGGGGAAUAUUGCACAAUGGGCGGCAGCCUGAUACAGCGACGCCGCGUGCUGGAUGUCUGCCUUCGGGUUGUAAACCGCUUUCGCCUGUGACGAAGCGUGAGUGACGGUAACGAGUAAAGAAGCACCGGCUAACUACGUG
rnacentral:rRNA from 1 species